rnacentral:rRNA from 1 species
CUGCUGCCUUCCGUAGGAGUCUGGGCCGUGUCUCAGUCCCAAUGUGGCCGUUCAACCUCUCAGUCCGGCUACUGAUCGUCGCCUUGGUGGGCCUUUACCCCGCCAACUAGCUAAUCAGCCGCGAGCUCAUCUUUGGGCGAUAAAUCUUUGGUAUGCUUCCCAUGCGAAAACCAUACAUUAUGCGGUAUUAGCGUCCGUUUCCAGACGUUAUCCCCCUCCCAAAGGCAGAUUGCUCACGUGUUACUCACCCGUCCG